UACAGAGGUCUCAAGCGUUUGUUCGGAUUCAUUGGGCGUAAAGGGUGCGUAGGCGGCGCGGUAAGUCGGGUGUGAAAUCUCGGAGCUUAACUCCGAAACUGCAUUCGAUACUGCCGUGCUUGAGGACUGGAGAGGAGACUGGAAUUUACGGUGUAGCGGUGAAAUGCGUAGAUAUCGUAAGGAAGACCAGUGGCGAAGGCGAGUUUCUGGACAGUUACUGA
rnacentral:rRNA from 1 species